ACUUUUCUACAGAAAAGAUAGCGCAUGGACAGCAGUAGUGCUAGGUCCACCACACUGCCGUACCAGUGUCCCUCAGCCAUAACCUGGAUGGAACACUUCUGGGGGUGAG
rnacentral:sRNA from 1 species